GAUGAACGCUGGCGGCGUGCCUAAUACAUGCAAGUCGAACGAAACUUCUUUAUCACCGAGUGCUUGCACUCACCGAUAAAGAGUUGAGUGGCGAACGGGUGAGUAACACGUGGGCAACCUGCCCAAAAGAGGGGGAUAACACUUGGAAACAGGUGCUAAUACCGCAUAACCAUAGUUACCGCAUGGUAACUAUGUAAAAGGUGGCUAUACUACCGCUUUUGGAUGGGCCCGCGGCGCAUUAGCUAGUUGGUAGGGUAAAGGCUUACCAAGGCAAUGAUGCGUAGCCGAAUUGAGAGGUUGAUCGGCCACAUUGGGACUGAGACACGGCCCAAACUACUACGGGAGGCAGCAGUAGGGAAUCUUCCACAAUGGGCGAAAGCCUGAUGGAGCAACGCCGCGUGGGUGAAGAAGGUCUUCGGAUCGUAAAACCCUGUUGUUAGAGAAGAAAGUGCGUGAGAGUAACUGUUCACGUUUCGACGGUAUCUAACCAGAAAGCCACGGCUAACUACGUG
rnacentral:rRNA from 1 species